rnacentral:rRNA from 1 species
AUGGGCCGCCGGGAAUACUACAAAGCUAGGGAGUGGGAGAGGUAGACGGUACUCCGUAGGAAGGGGUAAAAUCCUUUGAUCUAUGGAUGACCACCAGUGGCGAAGGCGGUCUACCAGAACACGUUCGACGGUGAGGGAUGAAAGCUGGGGGAGCAAACCGGAUUAGAUACCCGGGUAGUCCCAGCUGUAAACUAUGCAAACUCAGUGAUGCAUUGGCUUGUGGCCAGUGCAGUGCCGCAGAGAAGUCGUUAAGUUUGCCGCCUGGGAAGUACGUACGCAAGUAUGAAACUUAAAGGAAUUGGCGGGGGAGCACCACAAGGGGUGAAGCCUGCGGUUCAAUUGGAGUCAACGCCAGAAAUCUUACCCGGAGAGACAGCAGAAUGAAGGUCAAGUUGAAGCCUUUACCAGACAAGCUGAGAAGUGGUGCAUGGCCGUCGCCAGCUCGUGCCGUGAGGUGUCCUGUUAAGUCAGGUAACGAGCGAGAUCCUUGCCUCUAGUUGCCACCAUUACUCUCAGGAGUAGUGGGGCGAAUUAGCGGGACUGCCGUAGUUAAUACGGAGGAAGGAGAGGGCCACGGCAGG